rnacentral:rRNA from 1 species
GGUUUAAUUCGAUGCAACGCGCAGAACCUUACCAGGGUUUGACAUGCGAGUAGUAGAACUUGGAAACAGGGACGAACUGUUGAGUCAGUAACUCGCACAGGUGCUGCAUGGCUGUCGUCAGCUCGUGCCCGUGAGGUGUUGGGUUAAGUCCCGCAACGAGCGCAACCCCUGUCCCUAGUUGUAUCGCCCUAGGGAGACUGCCGAGACAAACUCGGAGGAAGGCGGGGAUGACGUCAAGUCAGCAUGGCCCUUACGUCCUGGGCUACACACACGCUACAAUGGACGGUACAAAGGGUCGCAAGACCGCAAGGUGGAGCUAAUCUCACAAAACCGUCCUCAGUUCGGAUUGGGGGCUGCAACCCGCCCCCAUGAAGUCGGAGUUGCUAGUAACCGCCGGUCAGCACACGGCGGUGAAUAUGUUCCCGGGCCUU